rnacentral:lncRNA from 1 species
UCAAGUAACCUGCUCCAGUUCCUAUGGGUGAGAAAUGAGAUCAAGGCUCACCACUCAAUCAGAACAGAUGGUCGUUGAACAAUUCCCAGAUGCACAUGAUAUGUGCCUAACCCAUGAUGGAAUCAGGAUGAGAAAGCUAGAGCGGACUAUACAUUGUCCAGAAAUAUCCGGUCAUCUGAUGCAUGGUGUGCACAUCUAACACAAGCUUCGUAUUCUGUAUACUCCUGCCUUUCAAUAAGUGGCCAUUGAUAAACUGAUUCAGCUUUCUCUUAUAAUAAGGUAAGAAAUAUUUUGCCUCUUGGGGCUGGACCCGUGGUGUAGUGGUUAAGUUCAGCAGACUCUAUUUCGGUGGCCUGGGAUCAUGAGUUUGGAUCCCAGGUGUGGAGCUACAUCACUCACACCACUCAUCAGCAUGCUGUGGCAGCAACCCACAUACAAAAUAGAGGAGGAUUGGCACAGAUAUUAGAUCAGGGCUAAUCUUCCUCAAGCAAAAAAGAGAAAGAUUGGCAACAGAUGCUAGCUCAGGGCGAGUCUUCCUCAGCGAGAAAAAAAAGAAAAAAUACUAUUUGCAUCUUGCCUCUUGCCAUGUGUUUGUGUGCUGAUGACUCAUUCUGUCCAAUAUCCUGGAAAAUCUCCCAUUAUAUGAUAGGGCAACAAAAAUGAGGAGAACACGAAAAUUCCAAUCAAAACUCCAAUGCUGGCUAUUAUUCUAAAACAUAGAGGUUAUUGCUUGAAGAAAGCCACAGAAAGGCAU